AUACUUACCUGGCAGGGCCAGAUACUGUGAAUCCACGAAGGUGGGUUCUCCCAGGCUGGCUCGCGCCAUUGUCCUGUGGGUGUGUAGACCUCUGUGGUUCCCCAAAAGCGGAAAACUCAACUGCAUAGUUUGUGAUAGUGAGGGACUGUGUGUGCGCUUUCCCUGA
rnacentral:snRNA from 1 species